UUGACGGGCCGGCGAAAGAGCAGCCUGGUAGCUGGAUAGUAGAGUCCGGUACACUGUUGGUCAGCCAUGUUUCCACAAAAACACAAACACAGCAGUGUUUG